UCGCAACCAUUGUGACGUCGCAGUGGCGAGGGGCGCUUCCGGGUCCUAGGCCGGCUCCGAGUAGGAUUGGCUGAGCCGACGGGUUCUCUCUUCGCCCGAUUGGCUGGGGGAGGGUCCGGCGGGAGAGUUCGAAAGAACGCCGAAACAGAAAAAUAAGUGCAUUAUAUACCUGUGAAAAUAAAAAAAAAUGGACUCAGGUAUAAUAGAUCUGAAUGAAGAUGGCCUGAUCUUAUGCAGUGGACUUGAUCAAUGCAUGCAGGGAAAUGAAGAUAUUCUUCUGCAGAUGAAGAAAAAGAAGCAUUCAAGUAAAUAAGAAGAGUAAUUCUGGGCAGACUGAAAAUCAUCCAUUUGCGCAAGAAGAGUCGAGUUCAAGUUCAAGACAUGCUAGACUACAAUUCACAUAAUCCCCAGCAAGAAUACUCAUCUUGGCUGAUGGUGCUGUACACAUCAGAACAAGAAAUCCAUCUUUUUUCUGUAUCUAAUGAUAUUCUGCAUAUAAUGUAUAUGAUGUUUUUCUGUAUAUAAUGAGACACUUUGACACUGUUCAUACAGAAAAUGAAAUGUUGCAUUGUAUAGGUUGAAGCUCUAAUACUCAAUAUUGGGACAAAAUCUUUUUGUCACAGAUAAAUAUAUACCAUGUAUAUUAUUUUUCAACAGCCAUCUUCUCAGUAAAAUAAAUACAGUUAAUCUACAAUUCAAAGUAAUUGCAAAUAACAAGUCUUUAUUACACUUUUCUGGUUGUUUAAUUGGAUAAGUUGUACAUGUACAUUAAGUUUAAAAUUAAAACCAAAAUCAAGGGAAAAUCCAUUAACAAGACAUGUAUAUAUCAUGUACAAUUUUAAACAAAAUGAAAAAUACAUAAUUGUACCAUAAAACAGCUAUCUUCAAGUUUAAAAAUAAUUUAGGUUUCUCCUCUUUUUACAUUUAUACAGAAAAGCAAUACAAAGUUAUUUCCAUUUGGCUCAAAAACUAAGAACAUCAUAAACAACUCCAUCAAAACACUUUUUGUGAAAAGUGCUUAACCACAUCUUAAGAGACUAGUGACUUUCACACAUGUUUAGUGCAAAUGUCUUUAAAAAGCCACUGCUAAUAAGCAAAUCUGUCGUUCUGUGUCUUUCUAUGCACAAAAUCACUCACAGCUGAAAUAAAAGAUUGCUUUGAGCCAUUGCCCAUCAUGUGAUGCCUCAAAUCAAUGUAAUGCUAUUAAAGGGCAGGACCUGGCUAAAUCUACAUGUCUUAAAAUCUGAAUAGAAAAAUAGCUAUCUUAAAAUAUAAAAAGUAACAUGCUAAUAGGCAGGUUACUGCAUCAGUGAUAUACAAAUCUUUUUCAGGAUCUAUACUGCAUAUGCUCUUAUUUCUAUUAUUUCAUCCAACAUGUAGGUCAUGUUCUACAAUUAUUACCUGCUCCAUUUUAGUAAUUCUGGCCUAAAUCCAGAAUUCUCUUGAAGUCAGCAUAUUUUUAUUUCAAAUCAGCUUAGCCCUGCUGAUCAAAUAUAAUUAGCUUGUCACUAAUACUAUUAUGCAGUCAUAAGUGUGUGUGGAUCUCAUUAAAAUAUAGCCAGCAAUUCAGCAUCAAUCAGAGUAGUUCAUUUGAUUAAGAAUGGCUUAACACCCCCAACUUUUUCCAAAUCUGCACUGAAUAAGUAUCAUGAGCCAAUUGUGAUUCAGAUGGAAAAAUUUAGUUUUAGGAUGAAACAAUGACAUUUCAUAAUUGGAUAUAUUCCUCUAUCCCACCCCACCCCCAAUGCAUUUUUCAUUCAUUAGAAGCUGUUUGGCACCUACUUUUCCAACAGUAAUCUGCUACUUCCACCAAGCUACUUAAAAAGAGAUUCUGCAACCUAUUUAGGAGUGCCAUGCAACAACUUUUGCCUUCUUGGGCAGAAAUAACUAAACAACUACCUUUCUGAAUAUACUGCAUAACCCAUAUGCAAAUUAUUUUUAUGUUGUAUUCAGCAGAUAUAGAUAGGGAAAGGAAAUAGGGAAAUUUUCUUUUAAACAAAACCCCUACUUGUAAUCUUGUUUUUCAUUAGAUCUAAGGAGACAGAUAAUAACUACAUUAGCUUCAGAGGUUCUUCAUUUAUUCCAGCACCAAGAGCAAUGAUUAAGAAGGCUCAUUCACCCAAAAUGAAAACAAUUAGAAGGGAUUUAGAGUUUUGAAGGAUAGCUUUAAUCCCUCCAAAAAUGGUCCCAACAAUUUUAGCCAAUCCUCAAAUGAGGUAAUAAGGGACUGGAUUCUUCACCCUGGCUUAACAUGUUAGAUAAACCAAGUCAAUUUUGGU